UGCAAAGUGUUUGCCAAAUUGUCUUGGCUUUUAAAGACUCUUCAGAAAAUGUGUUUGAUACUUGCAAAGUGUUUGCCAAAUUGUCUUGGCUUUUAAAGACUCUUCUGAAAAUGUGUUGGCUGCUUGCAAAGUGUUGGACUAAUUGGCUCUUAAAAUCGUCGCAACAGUAUGCGGAUGGAUAAAGCGGCAAUGUGGUGCUGAGUGCAUCAUUUCCGGUUCGUGGCAAGAUGGCGCUGACUGCAGAAGGCACCGAGUGAAGACACCGCUGAAUAAUUCAAGAGAGCUGACUACUCUGUCAAUGAGACAUAAAGACGCAGUGAGCAGCAACAAGAGGCACAGCAAGAAAGAAUUAUUCUCAUCUUUGACAUUUAAAAUGUUGUUAUAUUUUAAGCGAUUCACAUGUUAAACUGUAAUAAAUCAUUUUUCAACUUUU